rnacentral:rRNA from 1 species
GAGAUACUCCCGGGAAACUGGGGCUAAUGCUCCAUAGUGGAUAUGUCCUGGAAUGGUAUAUCCUCGAAAGAUCCGUCGCCUUAGGAUGGGACUGCGUCCGAUUAGGUUGUUGGCGGGGUAACGGCCCACCAAGCCAUUGAUCGGUACGGGUUGUGGGAGCAAGAUCCCGGAGAUGGAUUCUGAGACAUGAAUCCAGGCCCUACGGGGCGCAGCAGGCGCGCAAACUUUACAAUGCGAGCAAUCGUGAUAAGGAAACCCUGAGUGCCUGUCGAUGCAGGCUGUUCAUAUAUCUAAAUCAUAUGUGAAGAAAGGGCAGGGCAAGACCGGUGCCAGCCGCCGCGGUAAUACCGGCUGCUCGAGUGAUGGCCACUAUUACUGGGUUUAAAGCGUCCGUAGCUUGACUGUUAGGUCUCUUGGGAAAUCUUCACGCUCAACGUGAAGGCGUCUAAGAGAUACCGGCAGUCUUGGAACUGGGAGAGGUAAACCGUACUUCGGGGGUAGGAGUGAAAUCUUGUAAUCCUCGAGGGACGACCUAUGGCGAAGGCAGUUUACCAGAACAGCUUCGACAGUGAGGGACGAAAGCUGGGGGAGCAAACGGGAUUAGAUACCCCGGUAGUCCCAGCCGUAAACAAUGUGCGUUAGGUGUGUCGGUAACCACGUGUUACUGAUGCGCCGAAGAGAAAUCGUGAAACGCACCACCUGGGAAGUACGGUCGCAAGGCUGAAACUUAAAGGAAUUGGCGGGGGAGCACCACAACAGGUGGAGCCUGC